GACGAACGCUGGCGGCGUGCUUAACACAUGCAAGUCGAACGGAAAGGCCCUGCUUUUGUGGGGUGCUCGAGUGGCGAACGGGUGAGUAACACGUGAGUAACCUGCCCUUGACUUUGGGAUAACUUCAGGAAACUGGGGCUAAUACCGGAUAGGAGCUCCUGCUGCAUGGUGGGGGUUGGAAAGUUUCGGCGGUUGGGGAUGGACUCGCGGCUUAUCAGCUUGUUGGUGGGGUAGGGGCUUACCAAGGCUUUGACGGGUAGCCGGCCUGAGAGGGUGACCGGCCACAUUGGGACUGAGAUACGGCCCAGACUCCUACGGGAGGCAGCAGUGGGGAAUAUUGCACGAUGGGCGGAAGCCUGAUGCAGCAACGCCGCGUGCGGGAUGACGGCCUUCGGGUUGUAAACCGCUUUCGCCUGUGACGAAGCGUGAGUGACGGUAAUGGGUAAAGAAGCACCGGCUAACUACGUG
rnacentral:rRNA from 1 species